CCUACGGGAGGCAGCAGUAGGGAAUUUUCCACAAUGGGCGAAAGCCUGAUGGAGCAAUACCGCGUGCAGGAUGAAGGCCUUCGGGUCGUAAACUGCUUUUAUGUGCGAAGAAUUUGACGGUAACACAUGAAUAAGGAUCGGCUAACUACGUGCCAGCAGCCGCGGUCAUACGUAGGAUCCAAGCGUUAUCCGGAAUUACUAGGCGUAAAGAGUUGCGUAGGUGGCAUUAUAAGUGGAGCGUGAAAGCGUGCGGCUCAACCGCAUUAUUGCGUUCCAAACUGUGAAGCUUGAGUAUGGGAGAGGUAGAUGGAAUUUCUAGUGUAGGAGUGAAAUCCGUAGAUAUUAGAAGGAACACCGAUGGCGUAGGCAGUCUACUGGCCCAUUACUGACACUAAGGCACGAAAGCGUGGGGAGCAAACGGGGAUUAGAUACCCCGGGUAGUCCACGCUGUAAACCUAUGGUAUGCUAGACGUGUGACACACACUACGUACCGUACGUGUCGUACGUACGUAACGUUAACGGUACGUUAACGUACGAC
rnacentral:rRNA from 1 species